ACAUGCGAAUUGGAGUCCGCGUGCACUCUUGGCGACAUGAAAUCUAGCAUGGAGGUCUCCGUAUGCUUUUUUGUGACCAUUUUGUUCCUGCAGAGUAGCGCAACUGAACUCCCGGAGAUCUGCACAAGUCCGCGCCUAAUGCCAACAUGCACAGGUAACCUGUUUAAGGUGUAUUACUACGACUCGGGCACCGAACAGUGCCUACCUGAAAAUACAUGCGUUUCUACUGACAGUUUCAAGACAUUAAGAGAUUGUCAAGAAACAUGCCUCAGAAAGAAAGGAACGGAAGUCUCUGCUGAUAAAAGAAUGCCAUUGUUUCAACACAAGAACUUUAUUACCAAAGCUACCAGCUAUGACGGCCUCUACAUGCAUCCAUACACACACCAUAUAUAUUAUGGCCUACCCCUGUAAGAUAUGCAUUUUUUUAUUGAGCACUCUCCUUGCGGUAAAAGACCACAUUCAAGGUACCAUUGCUGUGGUUACUUAUAUUCUACGGAUAUAUUCUCGCAUCCUGCAUAUGGCGACGGAAGGGUCAAAUACCUUAUGCA
rnacentral:lncRNA from 1 species